rnacentral:piRNA from 1 species
UGUUCCUACUUUGCAAUUUAUUGUUC